CUUAACGAAGCGAGGGCUGUUAUCACCUCUCCUUAGCCCUUUAAGUGCAGCAGGCUCUUUGGUGUCUCUCGCUGAAUGCCGCUUUGUUAAUUGCGACGGUAAACAGGACACAGCGCUGACCAUCGCUGUGCUUUGCUCAGGCGGCACUUACCACAAAACCGCUGGAUUUAGGAAAGGAACCUGAGUCCAGGGGGAGUCACACAUGAAGGAGGGUUCGUAGAAGUACUCAGCAUUUCCUGGACUUGCUUCUAUCAUUUAAAAUGUAUUGCAUACCUUGAAGUGAGUGUAAUGGCUGGCUUAAUUGGAGAUAACUUCACUGAAGUGGCCGUAGUUACCAUUUAUGUCUGCAGUGAAUGUGCCCUUUAACGCUGUGCCCCUCAGUCAUGAUGAGACAUCCUCUGGGUCAGAUGUACUGAGGACAGACUAGCCUGAAAGUGCAGCACCUCUUUCACCCAAGUGAAAAGGACCAGCUGAACUGUGCGGGUAUUUGCUGAAAGCUUUCUGCAAACAUAUCUUCAGUGCCCAUAAUAAAUUUUCCUGCAUACAUAGUUUUCCAGUGUUUUUAUUAUUUAUUUGUGGCAGAACAAAUAAAUCUCAAAGGAUUUGGAUCUUAUAAAAAUAUAUAAUGUGGAAAUAUAGAUGCUCUUGCACCAGCUCUGGUGUCUGUUUUUUCAAGCUUUCCUACAAUUAAACUGAAUAUUCAUGGAAAAUACAUUGAGAAAGGGUGUCAAUAUCACUGUAAUGAAUCCAGUGUUUUAUUCAACUGAUUAUCCAGGAACAGUAUCGGGCCACUUUCCCAAUUCUUAUUAGAAAUAUUAUAAAAAAAUGAGAAAGAAUUCCUCUCAUCUGUUUAUGAGUUAUGCCACUUUCAAAGUCGCUAUAUUCCAUUACACAGUUCCCCACCCACUUGCUUGCCCAAAUAGAGUUUGCUACUAGAUGGAUCCAGAGCAGCUGCCUUGCCCCAGAACAGCUGCUGGUGCUCUAUAUUUGCAGCUUCCUCUUGCUCUCUGAUACUCCAUAAAACUGUUUAUAUUCCCUGUAAAAGUAUUUUCACUCUGUUUGCUUAGUGACCAUGCACCACAAA